UUGAAUGGCCACUGAGCAAAGCCCAGAUC
rnacentral:piRNA from 1 species